rnacentral:rRNA from 1 species
GACGAACGCUGGCGGCGUGCCUAAUACAUGCAAGUCGAACGCAGUGGGGACGGGUGAGUAACACGUGGGUAACCUCCCAUCAGAGGGGAUAACACUUGGAAACAGGUGCUAAACCGAUACUGAUGGAUGGACCCGCGGUGCAUUAGCUAGUUGGUGAGGUAACGGCUCACCAAGGCCACGAUGCAUAGCCGACUGGCUGGGGGUGUGGGCCACACUGGUCCGGCGCCACGGCCCAGACUCCUCCGGACGGCAGCAUUAGGGACGCUUCGGCAAUGGACGAAAGUCUGACCGACCAACGCCGCGUGAGUGAAGAAGGUUUUCGGAUCGUAAAACUCUGUUGUUAGAGAAGCGGUAUCUAACCAGAAAGCCACGGCUAACUACGUGCCAGCCGCCGCGGUAAUAC